UGGGGGAUAUUGCACAAUGGGCGAAAGCCUGAUGCAGCGACGCCGCGUGGGGGAUGAAGGCCUUCGGGUUGUAAACUUCUUUUGCUCUGAACAAGGCAUGCUAAUGGGUGUGUUGAGUGUAGGGGUUGAUUAGCGCCGGCUAACUACGUGCCAGCAGCCGCGGUAAUACGUAGGGCGCGAGCGUUGUCCGGAAUUAUUGGGCGUAAAGGGCUUGUAGGUGGCUGGUUGCGUCUGUCGUGAAAGCUCAUGGCUUAACUGUGGGUUUGCGGUGGGUACGGGCUGGCUUGAGUGCAGUAGGGGAGGCUGGAAUUCCUGGUGUAGCGGUGGAAUGCGCAGAUAUCAGGAGGAAUACCGGUGGCGAAGGCAGGUCUCUGGGCUGUUACUGACACUGAGGAGCGAAAGCAUGGGGAGCGAACAGG
rnacentral:rRNA from 1 species